rnacentral:misc_RNA from 1 species
AAUUCUUCAAUAUUUGCUGUAGUUGCUCAGAUCACCCUUAUUUUCGGCACUGAUCGCGCAUAUCCUCGUGUUUGCGUUUUCCACUUAAUUCUGUUGCUUGCACAGUUGACCAAAAAAGAAAAAAUGAAUAUGAGUACAGAAACCAACUCUGUCAACCACACCAUUAUUGGUGGAGAUGAUGCAAGUUCUACUCCCUCUUCUCCAGAGAGCCCAUCAUUUGAUGAUUCUGACUUGCUGUCAUCUUCUGCUGUGGGAGACUAUGUAACAUCUCAGCUUGCUGCAGCUGGUCCCAUUGGUGUAGCAGCAGCUGCAGCAAUUGCUACUGGUAAGAGAAGAAAGAAAUCUUAUAUCUUUGAAACCAAUCCUUCCAUUAGAAAGCGUCAGCAGAGUCGUCUUCAGAGGAAACUCAAAGCAAUAAUUGAUGAGUACAGGACUAGAGUGGGACAACAGGCUAUAGUGCUGAUUGCCACUCCAGGAAAACCACAAAAUAACUUCAAGGUUUUUGGUGCUCACCCACUGGAGAAUGUGGUUAGAAGCUGUCGGCAUAUGAUUGUUCAAGAACUUGAAUCAGCCCUUGCUGAGCAUGUGCCACCACAGCACACUGAUGACAUAUCUAUGUAUGAGCUUCCUCCAUUAGUGAUAGAUGGAAUUCCCACACCAGUAGAAAAGAUGACACAGGCUCAGCUUCGUGCCUUCAUUCCACUCAUGUUGAAGUAUUCAACAGGCCGGGGCAAGCCAGGCUGGGGAAAGGAAUCAACUAGACCCCCAUGGUGGCCAAAAGACGUUCCUUGGGCCAAUGUUCGAAGUGAUGCUCGAAAUAAUGAGGAGAAGCAAAAGGUUUCAUGGACUCAUGCCCUGCGACAGAUUGUUAUGAACUGUUAUAAAUAUCAUGGACGAGAAGACUUAAUGCCUGCUUUCAACAAUGAAGAGGAAAAGGACAAAGGAAAGACAAUGUUUGCUCAUCCUGUAACACAUUAUUCUCCAACAAUGGUGCAAACAAUCAAUAACUCUGAUGGUACUGUAUCAGUUAUACAAGUGGAGGCAGGCAACACUGUUGUCACUCUUCCUGAGGGAACUCAAGCCCAGUUUCAAGCUUUGAAUGCAAUUCCAAACUCCCAAAGAGAUGUUCAUACUUUAGCUGAAGUAGCUGUUGCUUCACAGCAAGAUGAUGGUGAAACAAGGACUCACCAAGUGACACCACUAAGUGUUGAUCUGCGUGGAGAAGUAACUGCACAAGCCAUGGCAACACUAGCAGAAGCAACACUCAGUUCUGAUGGACAAAUUAUUCUUACAGGAGAAGAUGGAACACAAACAGCAUUUCCCGUUUCUGGCAUGGUGACCAUUCCUGUUUCCAUGUAUCAAACUGUAGUGACCAGCAUUUCACAGUUGACUGAAGGUCAAGCUUCUCAUGAAGGACUUAUGGCCCACAUUACAGUUGGAAACUCAACAGACACCAGUGGGAAUGGAACUAGAGCUAUUGAUGGAUCUGACAGGAUAAAUGAAUCUGUCUCUGUAGCCUCUAGUGGGGGCUCAGGAGAUAGUUAAGUUUACAAUGGAAUUAGUUAGUGUCAUUUUUGAAAUCCUAUUUAUAUGGUGUAUUUGUUGUAACUGUAAGAAGACAGGAAAUGUAGAAUGAUAAGGUGUUCACUCUAUGUUAAACCAGUGCUUAAUAGAAAUCAAACUUGAAAUCUUUGUCAAAGUAAAGUUGUAGUUAAACCUUCAUUUGUUAGUUACCAACACAGUUGUUGUUUUAUAAAAAAAUUUUACCUAGUCAAAAAAAACAGAUAACCUGAAUGAGCUGAUGAAUGUUGACACCUUAUGAUAUUAGCCAUUACAACAAGAUGCAUGGUUGGAGCAGUCUGUCCAUACAUAUUUGGGUACAACAACUUGAAAUUACUCAGGAAAAUUAUAACUUACAGUUGAUGAUUGAAAAAACUGAUGUUUUUUGGUCUUUAUCUUACAAACUGCUUGUUGUCUAAAAUGUUCAUACUGUUCUAUAAUUACCUGCAAGUAUUGAAAGUGAGUUUAUACACAACUGGUUUUACUAUGAAAUGCACAUAUUGAGUGAAGAGCUAGUCAGUCAUAAAACUAAGAAUUAUAUAAUAGAUUAAUAAUGUCAUUGUAAAUUAAUUUAUGUUGUUCUUUGUUAUAUUUUUAAAUACUGAUGUUUCAUUGCUUGAUAAUAUUUGUAAGAUAUUAAAACUUAUUGACCUGACAAUCAGACGACACCUGUUGCUUGUACACCUACAAAUAUCUGCACUAAUUGCAAAAGUAUAAAGAAUAUAUUGGUUGUUCCAAAUUCUGCCACAAGCCUUACUAUAACCAAGAGCUGUUAUUCAUUUAUAAUAUGAAUAUUUAGGUUGAUUAUGUUAGAAACUAACGCUCUUACGUUAUCAUUAUACGUCAAAGUAACUUAAUUAAUAUCUAAAUUUAUCAUAAAGGUGGUUUUAUCAAGGAUGAAGUCAUUCAAUCUUUUCAGAAUUAUAAGGAUGCAGAAUACCUCCAUUGAAGUUCCAUCUGCAUGUAGGGCUUUUAUAGUUAUAGAUGUAAGUAUCUCAAUUAAAAAAGACUUGAGUAUAUACUGUGUACUCACUGCAUUGUAAGCCAUGCCUUACAGAGAGCUUCACUGUAGCUCCCAGAAAAUGUCAGAUAAUCUUCAAGAGUAUGAAAUGAAAGAAGCAAACAAAAGAUUACAAGUUUCACUGUUAUGUCCCAUAAGUUCAACAACAUGGAUUAUUAGAUAUAAUCUUCAAAUUAUUUAGCAAUAAAUAAUAAUUUUGAUUUCAGUUUUCAGAUAUCCUAAUCACCACUACAUGUAUCCUAAAAAUAUGGAGAUUGUCAAAUAUUUUCUUUUCUUUCCUACUUUUAAUUGUUAUUGUUUCCUAACAAUGUUGAGAGUAUUAAACUUUUCUUUUGUACUUUACAUUAUUAUUGACUCCUAACAAUGUUGAGAUUGUUAAAAAUUUUCUUUUAUACAUUACAUUGUUAUUGGCUAUGCUAAAUAACAAAGAUUUAAGUAAUAAAAGUGCAUAUAGAAACCAUUGACUGUGAAUUUGUUAAAUUCUUUUCCAGUGGAAAUAAAGAAUGCAAGCAUUCCACAUCUAUAUUUGAAAUUUAAAUUUACUGUCAUUUAUACUUGAAUUAGUUUAGUUCCUUAGGAAAAUGAACAUUCCAACUUAUUUUUUAUAAAUUUAAGCUAUAGAGAUAACCUGAACUAUACAGUGUGACUUUGUAACUUGUAAAGCUUGAGAUAAACAGAAAAGCAUGCAUUGAAUAUUGUGAAAAAAACAUAGUAAGUUAAAUAACACGUGUAAGUUGAAGAGCCAAUUUCUUGUUUCUCACUACACAUUGUAAUAAGUGUAACAUUUAUUCUUUACUAAGCUGUCUGUUCUGAAAACUGUCAUUUCAUCUGUGAUAUGGACAGACCUGGAAAGGGAGUAUAUUACAGCUAGUCUAUAUAUAUUAGCAGGAAGAAUGAGAAGGAAAUGUGCUUCAGGUAAAGUAUGGUAUUAGUAGGUAGACUGGAGAGAAAGCAUGCUUCAGGUAAAGUACAGUGUCGGCAGGAAGACUGGGAAGGAAAUUGUUUAUAUCAAGAUUAAUGUAUAACUGUAGUGAAUGAUUUUGGAACAAGUUAAUAUCUGCAGCUUCAAUAGUUAUCUUGUUGCCAAUAAAGAUUUGGGUAAUUUAAAA